GUAUUUGGAUUCAAGCGUGUCCAUGGUAGUAAAGCAGAGAAAGGUGAAGAAAGCAAAUACAGAGAAUAUGUCCGUAAUCCCUUCCUUAUUUACAUGACCGAUGUUGAGUUUUUGAAAAAUGGGAAUUCUAAAUGGUUGGUGAUAGUGGUCAUGUUUCUAUUGGGCAUAGCAGUGCAAGUUUACACAGCAAAUUUAACAUCAAUUUUA